AAAACUUUUUAAUGCUAAGGAGAAAGGACAAACAGCUACAGAAAGACACUGGGCUACAGAAAAAACUGCUGAACUGAAUCAGCCGGUAUACUUCAAAGAUGUAUUGACCGCUGCAUGGAAACCAGGACAUGUGUUAUGUUGGGGAAUGGGUUUUGCCUUUGUUUUCACAGGAGAAGAAAAACUUUGGAUACCAUCAAAGUUAAUCAAGACUCAAGUCGAAAAAGAAAAAACCUCUCGAUGAGGAGAAAAGCAGGUAAUCUACCAAGGCAUAUCUCACAAACUGUAUAGAAACCUCACAAGGGAAAGGGAAGUGUUUUGUUCUUAUCUUCACAGGAAAGCUCAUCUCCAGAAGUCAAAGGACACUGAGUGGGUAGAUGCUUAAGAAGAGAAGGUAGCUAUAAUCAUCAAACAAAAGUAAUGUGCCAUAUGGUAAACUCUAUAGCUGUCUCUCAGAGAACUCUAUUUCUCUUUAUUUCCUAGUCCAUAUUCAAUUAAACCAAUGCUGGCUUUAUAAUUGGAUUUGGCUUUCCUCUGAUAAAUCCAAGCACAUUGUUAAAAUGAAAUUCAGUGUUUCUGUAUUAUAUCAAGAAGCCAAUAGAUGCAAUACAGAAUAGGAGAAAAAUGGGGACAGUCACUUGUCUUCUCUUGGUUCUUUCUCUCAAGGUAUACAUUCUCUCAUGAUUGUUAUUUUCCCAUUUUUGCCUAUCCCAGUAUGCAUACAUAUCCAAGUAAAAGUUUCUAUGCUAACAUUUAUGUUUGAGUCCCACACAGCCAGUAAAGACCUGCCUGAUAGCAGUCCCUGGAUGCUCUGGAAAGAAAUAGGCCACACCUCCUCGAAUACACUGGAUCCAACUUGCUUCAUUUCAAUUGACACUCUGUCCAGAACUUCAGGUACUGACUUCAAUUAACACAAGAACUUCAAUCAAGAUAAGACUUCAACCUGGACCUAUUUAUCAAGAAUUUCCCACCAGACACAGACUGGAUAUAACACAUUCAGGAUUUUCACUACACUAACAUUUUCUUCACACAGGACCCAACGAGGCUGUCAUUGUCCCAGUUCUGCAGGAGUGACUUCAUCCAGUGGCAGAAAUAAGCAGAUAUAGAUACCCACAACUGAAGAAUGAACUGAACUCCUGGAAUCCAGUUGCAAAGAGGGAGGAGUGAAGAGCAAAUGGAUUAAGACUGAGCUGGUGAAACCCACUAAAAGCGCUGACCUGAACAAGGGUGAACUCAUGGACCCCAAGCUAAUGGCUGCGAGGCCAGCAUGGGACUGAUCCAGAUCCCCAUUAAGAGCCUUCAUCCAAUAGCUGAUGGAAGCAGAAGCAGACACCCACAGCUAAACACUGAGCUGAACCCUGGAACCCAGUUGCACAGAAGGAGGAGUGAUAAACAAAGGGGUCAAGACCAGGCUGGAGAAACCCACAGAAACAGCUGAACUGAACAAGUGGGAGCUCAUGGACCCCAGAAUGAUAAUUGUGAGACCAGCAUGGGACUGAUCCAGACCCCCUGAACUUGAGUGUCAGUUUGGAGAUCUGAGCAAUAUAUGGGGCCUCUGGUAGUAAAUCUGUAUUUAUGGCUAGUACACAAAUGGAUGUUGGGAACCCGCUUCACAUUUAGGGAUACUCUCUUAGCCUAGACACAUAGGAGAGGGCCUAGACCAUGUUCCAAAUGAUACAACAGUCUUUGAAGAUCCCACAUGGAAAGCCUCAUCCUCCCUGCAGAGCAGAAAUGGGAUGGGUGAUAGUGGAGGACAGGGGAGGUGGGAUGAUGGAGAGGCAACGGGGAUAGUCAUGUAAAACAAGAUUGUUUCUAAUUUAAAAUUUUAAAACAGAAGUGGAAGUGGGUACUGCAGGGAUGGUUCAGUCAUUACAGGCUAGGCUUACAGCCAAAAUAUAAAAAGUGUACGUGGAAACAAAGUUCCACCUCUAAGCAAGGAGCUAUUUGCUAUUGAUACCUGAUAGGAAAGGGAUAGUAAAUUUACAGUGACACUGGGUAUGUAAGCCACACUCUAGGGUAGAGCAGAGAGCAUUCCAGGAGUAGCUGACUAACACAAAAUGGAUUCAAAGUUUUUUGUUUUAUAUUUGUUUUUUUUUUUUAGUUUUUUGUUUGUGUCUAUAUGUGUGCAUUUUGUAUUCUUUUUUACAUUUUUCUUAUUUAUUUUCUUUGUUUAUUUUGAUUUUCAUUUUAAUUUUUAUGAAAGAAGGAAAAAAUGAGGGUGAGGUUGUUUUUAUUGGUAGAUAAGUGUAGAUUAUCUGGGAAAUUUGGGAGAAGUAAAAGUAUAUGAUUAAAAUAUAUUGCUUGAAAAAAUAGUAAAUAAUGAUAAAAAGAAAAGAUCAUCUAUGAAUGUGGGCAAGUGAAAUGAGCCCGUUUUUCCAUGCAGCUUUCAUUUUGAUUUUAUCUUAGCAGAAUACAAAAAGAAAAAAUAUACUUAGAUAUUAAGUGCACUAGAAAAUGAUGGACAACCUGAUGAAUACCUGCUGUACUUAGUGAACAGUUAAUAUAUGUAUAAUAGUGAAAUUGUAAUUUUGAUUACUUAUCAGAGAGAUAUUGUUAAAGUAUUGAUUUAUCUAUUUAUUCUUUGGGCCUGGGCGAGGAAUAUACAUGUUGUAUAUGGAGAACUAUCAUUGAAGAUGGUUUUUCCCUUUAACCAUUUGAGUCCCAAAGUGGGCUGUCUUCCCAGUACUAUAUAUAAAGUGUAAUUAAUCAUUGCUUUUGAUAAUGCAAAUAAUUACCAUUAUUGUUUUCUCCUUGACCGAAUUAUUCGACACUUGGUGCAAGCACUUGACC
ensembl:lncRNA